AACCUCUGAUCCCAAAUUCAGUCCUCUUUCCACUCCAACAUGUUGCUGUCUGAUUCCUUCAUUUUGCAGGUGAGGCACCUGAGUGUCAGAGAGGGGAAGUGACUUGUCCAAGGUCACACAACCAGGAGGUAGAAGAAGCAGGACUCCAGCCCCAGAACUUGUGACUGUGAAGUGAAGAGUUCUUAAUCCUGAAGCAUACUACCUUGAGCUCUGGGAGCAAAGGCCCAGGCCCUCCUUGUUCUCUGAGUGGUCUCUCUUCGGCCUUCCAGGGACCCACCUGCAGCCCAGGGCUCUGGCCUGCCAUCUUUCUCUUUCCACUGGAGAAGGCGCUGAAGUGUUUGGGACCAAGUAUUAACUUAGAAGAAUCAGUACCAGCUAUACCCUGAUGCCAGCUAUUGUCGAAUAAACGUAGCGGUUCCACGGUUCUGGAAGCCA
rnacentral:lncRNA from 1 species